ACUCAAAUGAAUAGACGGGGACCCGCACAAGCGGUGGAGCAUGUGGAUUAAUUCGACGCAACGCGAAGAACCUUACCAAGGCUUGACAUCCCCCUGGAUGCCCUAGAGAUAGGGCAGGCCCUCCGGGGACAGGGGAGACAGGUGGUGCAUGGUUGUCGUCAGCUCGUGUCGUGAGAUGUUGGGUUAAGUCCCGCAACGAGCGCAACCCCUGCCCUUAGUAGCCAGCGCGUGGAGGCGGGCACUCUAGGGGGACUGCCGUGGACAACACGGAGGAAGGUGGGGACGACGUCAAAUCAUCAUGCCCCUUAUGCCUUGGGCGUCACACGUGCUACAAUGGGCCUUACAGAGCGAUGCGAAGCCGCGAGGCGGGGCAAACCGCAAAAAAGGCUCCCAGUUCGGAUUGCAGGCUGCAACCCGCCUGCAUGAAGUUGGAAUCGCUAGUAAUCGCGGAUCAGCACGCCGCGGUGAAUACGUUCCCGGGUCUUGUACACACCGCCCGU
rnacentral:rRNA from 1 species